rfam:Gossypium raimondii Chr02_contig_1027, whole genome shotgun sequence.
AAUGUAAGAAUGACAAAUCAGAUUUUUCUUUUGAUUUUUAGCUUUUUUUCUCUUGAAAAAAAAUUCAAAUCCAACUAAAAUUGUAGAAAAUCAGGAGGAAAUCUGAUUUGUCAUUCUCACAUU